AUGGCACAUGUUUCUUCAGAAAUUCAAGAUGUUUCUCCCAAAGAUUAGUUAACUGGUUCAGAAGCCUCCAGUAGGUCUCCGUUGCGACAGAAUUUUCAAAGAUCUGCCUUUCUAGCCACCUUUCUGGCAGAAGAGAAAGAAUCCGAUGCCUUAAGCAAAUUAAAGUUUUAUUAUAAUCCAAAUUUCAAACGUGGCUGUCCCCAGCAUUUAGUAAGGGUGAAAAGAAGAAUUGGUGUUAAAAAUGCUUCACUUAUACCUACUUUAUUCAAUGAAGAUUUCAACAAGAAGCAUUUUAGAUCAGGAGCUAAC
rnacentral:lncRNA from 1 species